GGGAGGGCCCAGUCCUGCAACAUCCGCUUAGGUCCUAUGUCUUACAGAUCUCAUAGCUUCUCAGAAUCACUGUAGUGAGGUCCAUGCUCCCAGUAUAGGAACAUCUGGGUGACACCAUAUCCAAACCAUUAGCCCAAAUCCAUUUACAGCUGUAAAUGGUGAAGAUGGAAGAAGCUUGGUCAGAUUUCCCUAGUCAAAUGCCCCCACCUUUGUGAGAAGAUGAUGAGGAAGAGGUGGAUCUUCACACUGGGAUAGCCCAUAAGUCACAGACAGGUGAAGCAAUGGCUGGAAUGGGCAGUCCAUGAUGAGACCACCCAGAUCCCACAGGGAGCACCGAGCUGUCUAGACCUAGUUAGCAUCCUGUGGAAUAACUUGCCUGCUUCCACUUUGCCAUGUCUCUUCCACUGUCCCCCAGCCAUGUGGUGCAAACGACCCAUUUAAACAUCUCAGAAGUGAAGAUGAGAAGCAGGAUAAUAAGGCAGCAUGCCUACAACUUCAAUCAGCCCAAAAUACGCUUGGCUAAAUGUGAUUGUGAGAUGCUCAAAGUGGUACCCAGAGUUUCAUAAGAAGCCAUCACGAGAACAUGGUGGGGCUAGGGCUUCACCAGGAACACAAGCCUGGGAAGUUCGCAAUAUCAGUCCCAAAGAGCAAAAACCUGAAACAGCACCAGUGGUUUGGAACUGCCUUAAACAGAAAGCACGCGAUGAGGGCCUUCCCCACAUGUCUAGCACUGUUUGGGGAAAAGCUGCUCUGGUAGAAGAGUCAUUCAUGAAGAGCAGGCUCAGCACUUGAACCCUGGCUCUUCCUCUCACCAGCCCUGUGAACUGGGAGCACAGCUUGCACUUGGUACCACUGCUUCAUUUGUGAGAAGAAUAGGUAA